rnacentral:ncRNA from 1 species
UGACCUCAACUCAGUCGUGAUUACCUGCUGAAUUUAAGCAUAUAACUAAGCAGAGGAAAAGAAACUAACGAGGAUUUCCCUAGUAACGGCGAGUGAAUGGGAAAUAGCCCAGCGCUAAAUCUACUAAUCUUUUUGAUUAGUUAGAAAUGUAGCGUAUAGGUAUAACAAAAUAUUUAGUCGAUUGUUUUAUGCACCCAAAGUCCCCUUGAGUGGGGCCAUGAUCCGUAGAAGGUGCGAGACCUGUACGGGUGAUGAAGCAAUCGAUGCGUUAUACUCUAGAGUCGAGUUGUUUGAGAUUGCAGCUCAAAGAGGGUGGUAGAUUUCAUCUAAGGCUAAAUAUUGCCACGAGACCGAUAGCAAACAAGUACCGUGAGGGAAAGUUGCAAAGAACUUUGAAGAGAGAGUUCAAGAGGACGUGAAACCGCUGAGAUUGAAGCGAAUAGAAUUGACGAAACUCGUUAGCAUUCAACCAAUCGGAUAAACAUUGCUAUAUUGUUGAAUAUAUUUUUUUAUUUUUUGAAAAAAUAUAUUCGUCGUGUACAUUAUGAUAAAAAAUUAGUAAUGACAUCAAUAUAUGCAUAAAUUGUUUAUUAUAUAUAAUUUUAUAUAUAAAGAUUGGUGCUUUUGCUAAUAGUAUGCAUUGAGAAUCUCGUUAACGUAUGAAACGAUUCGAUUGUUCUUGUGGACCGUUUGUCUUUGUUUCAAAGUGAACGAAAUCCAACAAUUGAAUGAUAAUGAAGAGAGAGCAUAUCGUUAAUGAGAGAAAGGUGAUAUCUCAACUGUAGUUUUUCGAGACUAUAGUGUUUCAAGGAUCCUCUUCAUUAACAAUAGCAUUGGAUAAAACGCUUGCGUUUUUAUCUAUGUAAUUUUUUUAUUGUUUUUGUUGAGAUUUUUUGAUGAAACAUUUUUUAAAUAAAUAAAAGAGAUAUAUUCUCGAUGUGAACGUCAAUCACCUAUUCGACCACUAAAUCAUUGGUCUAUGCCUAGAAUUAAUUCAUGGUUUGAUUCUAAGCCUUGGCCAAAAACUUGGCCACCGCCAAAUCCUUGGCCAAGCCUUGGAAUAUGACUUCAGGCUUGGCCUAUGCCUAGGAGUUGUCUUUGGUUUAAUCAUAAGCCUUGGCCAAAACGAAAUCCGUUGCCAUUCCUCGGACUGAAAUUUGGCAUUCGCCUAAGUCUCUAUGUCAACAUUGGGAUAAUCACAUACCUGGGCUGAAGCGAAAGCCAAAACACAAGCCUAUGGACAAGUCCAAGCUCCUGCAGAGGCAUAAAGUUUCAAAAUUUUACAUGAAAUC